AAACUAAUUAUUGUUAAAUAGCACAACACAUUUAAUCUUAUUGUUUGAAUCUCGUUUUCUUGAUCUACAGCAAGUACCAUGUUUUACCAUGACUAAUAUCGAUCUAGUUUACUGCAGUGUGCAACGAGUGUCUCACUGCAGCCGCAGAGGAAACGCACAGAGUAACGUUAUUACAUCAUUUUAAAUGUAUCUAAUAUGAUGAACAGCGCUACAUUACCCCACAUACGCUUGACCAGAGGAAGAUGAAGAUAUCUCCCAUGAUUCCACGCUCAAUCUUGGCAUCGUCAAGCCACGCCUUUGUUUUGAAUAGGUGACCUCUAGUGGCGAAAAAUUACAUUACAUAUUGUGCCAUGAUGUGUCUUCCUACAUAGUUGUUUAAGAAAUGAAAAGCUACACACGCCAUCAAAGAACUGCUGCCAAACGUAUAACAUGCUAGAAACAUAAUGAUCACUGCAAUAAUGAUCCAGUCAUAGACUCUUAAGUAUUUGCCUAUUUAAACCCAUACAGUGACUUUUUUUUUUUUGUCCGGACAGUGUAUUUCCACCGACCAGGAUGUGCCCUGAAUCUCCCAGCUUUGGUUGGCCAGAUAGGUGUUCCCUGUACCAGUAAUAUAUCUGCAUCUCUUACUUUUUCUAGCGCUCUAAUUGUAUUCCAGAGGAAAUUAAAAUCCCUCAUGUCAUUUUCCCCUCACAACACUUCUCUUAAUCCUUUCUAAAGCUUUGAAAUGCUCAUCCAUCAGUAACUGUGUGCAGGAGCGUUUUUAAUGUCAUGAGUGUUUGAUGUGGUUGCAGAGCAACUUAAUAGAGUCUGUUAUGUAACUUUUAAUUACAGUCACGUUAGUCUUGAUUGAGCUCGGACCAGAGUGAUCUGUAACUCGCUCAGUGACGGGAUGUAAUUAUCCUGUUCAGUUCACUGUAUACGGACGGCACCUGGCCGGCUGUGAUUGUAAAUAAAUGUAGACUUUGCUUUGUGCAUAUUUAAUUGUAAACAGAGAGCUAAACUGACAAUGACUGAUGUUUUGUUAGAUAAGACUGUUACAGUACACUUAACUGAGAUGAAAACAACCUCUAUUCACCCAUUGACCAUAAAUGUCAUUGAUGCUAAUAUAUAAAUAUAUGUACAAAUAAAUGGGAAAACUGGAAUAAAAAAAAAAAAAAUGCAAAUAAA